CGGGCUCCCGGAGACUUCGGGGAGUUUCCGUUCUCUCUGGGAUUACGACGACCCGACCUAAUCCGUUACAGGGCUGGGCGAGUUUGAUGGGCUGUGGUCGCGGCGCAAAGGAGAAACGUUAUUAAAUAGAACAUCAAUAGAACUACGGGUGGCAAUUAAUGAGACCAACAGUUGUCAGCAGAGCAGCAUUGGGCCUUUCUCUUCCAGUUGAGCUUUGCAGCUGACGGAUGACACAGCUGUCUAAGAGUGAUCUUCUCCCAGAGGCAAAGUGAGGACAUGCAUUUCAGCAGAACUUCUCGUGGCCAGUGUGCAGACUUCUGAUCAGCCUCAUCUGAAACGACACUGUUUUACGCAUACACAGAUGCCCCAGAGUAUCUGGCUUUGGCUCGCUCUAGAAGGACAGAGCGCAGGUUAAGUUGUUUGACAUAACUGGAAGGGCUGAGCUCUUCCCAUUAGUGGGGCCCCUCCCCAUUUCUAAAUAGCUUUUGCUGAGAUAUGGUUUCUUUCAGUAGAAGAAAAUGAAUGGGUGGGUGAUGCAAUCCUUUCUGUCUCUAAAGAAACCUGGACUGGUGACAAAGGUGCCCCAAGGCAAGAGAGCUGCUUGCUGUGCUCUGGAAGGCAGCAGCAAAAGUGAAGUUGAGCUGCUUCCUCAGUGGAGUUCACUGCUCCGCAUCAAAGAGAGUGCUCGGUGUAGGUAGACCCCAGAUGUUCUGAAUGAAGGGGAAAAUAGCAAAUCUCUUAAAAGAGUAUGGUGUCGUCCCAUGAAACCGCAACAGAGGUAGUCUGCCCAGGACCGCCCCAGCCGGUCUGUGUGACAGUGGGAGCGGAAAUAUCCAGAAGUGCAGGUGUGAUGCUGUCCUCUUCUACCGGAUCCCCUGUGUUUGGACCAUGAGCGUCGGGUACUCUGACGUUCACACAUCCAAUCACAGGUGUGAUGCUAGUCCCUCAGACAGCAAUAGACGUGCCCUGGCCAGGUGCACACUCGGUGACUGAUGGAGGGCAGGGACAGAAGGGUCUCGUAGCAGGCAUUCAUUUCUUCUCAGUGGUGCAGGCUUCUCCAGUAGUCACAGGUUAUCUGUGAUUAGAUGGGUCCCAGGUGCUCACAGGAGAUGCAGGAAGAGAAAUCUCCAAACACAGUUAUGGGGCUGCGGUUGGCCCCUCCCACGGCAAAACACAUGCUCCUUCAGGUAGGACCCAGGAGCUCUGACUGCAGAUACAAACAUGAAGGUCACUAGGCAUAGCUGUGGAGUUUUCCAACUGACUGCAAUAGAUGUAGCCUGGGUGGGAGGGUCCCAGGUGAUCUGAACACAAGGAGGAACACAAAUGUCUUUGGGCACAUGUACCUUCUCUGUGAUGCUCUCUCCUCCAGCAGUAGUAGGCAGGUCAUGGCUGGGCUGGCUCUAGAUGCCCUCAUUAUAGGUAGGAAGGAAAGUAUUUCCAAGGACAGAUUUGCUCUCUGCAGUGCUGGCCUCCCCGCUUGCAACAAGGAUGCAAUAGGCUGACAGCACUCCCCAACAUGAGGUAUGGUGCUGGGUGUCCCACAGGGGCUUGCUCCACAGCUGAGUGUUCCAGACAUGGAGCUGCAGCCCGGGACACACACCAUGACCCCCAAAGCUGCCACUACCCCGUGGGUUUGCAGGCCUCAGAGCUCCAAUUGGGUUUGAAAUGCUACUGGCAGGAGGUGAGCAGCAGUCCUCAGAGCAGGAAAGAGUGGCUGUGCCGUUGGGGAAAACGACUGAAUUGUUCCCCCAAAGCCGGCUGGGUGUUGACAGAGAUUUCAGAUUUGGAACACGGGGUGUGAAACUCUCCUGAGCUGACUGCUGGUGGAUUCCAGGGCAGGAGGGAGGUCCUGCUGGGGCUGCCGGCAUUCCGACGGGAAAGAGCUGUUAAAGCUGUCAGGAAGAGGCAGAAAGAGGCAGGAAGACAGCAGGCUGGGAACUGAGGAUGUUAUCUAUGUUGACUUCGAGUCCAAGGCAGGCAUGGAUUGCGAGUCUGAAGGGUCUUGGAAUGAGGCCUCUGCGGUGGCAGUGGUAGGUGAGCCAGAAUAGAUAGGGGCAUGGAAGCGAGCAGCUUCCUGUUGCUGCCCAUACAGGCGUCCAAACUUGAGCUAGUGGGAGACUUCUGCCCCAAAAGGAAGGGGGAAGAUUCCAGUAGGGCCGCUGGCCAUCAAAACAGUUGGACUGGUGGCCACUGUGGCCUUUGCAGGGGUUAUUUGCUCCACACUGGGAGCAGCCUGGUCACGUGGGAGGGUUCUCUUUCUGGAUUUUUGGGGAUACCUGGGAAUGAAAGCCUGGCAAGGCAGAGUGGUGUCUGUGGAUAUUAUACCAAAGUGCAAAGCACCCUCUGAGGUCCAAUCUGCAGCUGGGCUCACUGGGAUGUUGGGGGUGACUGCAGAAGCAGUGAUGGGCUGGCUGGUAAAGACGGGGGACACUAGUGAAAGGGACUUGAAGAGGAGUCUGUAAGAAAAAGGGAGGAGAAUCCACACACAUAGAUGUAAGUGACUCAAUUCUGGGCAGGGCAGGCCUGACGGAGAGGGUGUUAGGAGGCAUGGUAAGUGAAACAGAAGAUGCUGCAACUAUGACUGAGGGUCUGGAAUGCAAAGGGCCCCUAGUCUCAUUAUUAAGCAGAACCCUAAAGAUGGGUUGGAAUCUAUAAAGUGAGCCGUAGUAGGAAUAGCAAAAGGAGAGUUAGAUGCUGGGUAUCUCCUUUCGUGAUAAAUACCUGGUGUGGGCAUAGGCAAAGGGGCAGAUAGGACUGUGGGCCAAACAGACAAGUCAGUGACUGCUCAUUUGGUAGUAUCUGGAUCGGCAAGGGGAAAGUGGCCAAUGGCAAAGUAACCGCCUUCCCUGCAAGAGCAGGCACGCCAAGUAGAACUGCGGUCUGAAGUGGGCCGAGCUGUAUGCUGCAGUCUUGUGGCUCCACCUUCCCCAUGGUGCCGUGUUUUCUCCAAGCUGAUGUCUUCGGCGAUGACUGUCCAAGGCAGGUGGGGGGUGGAGGCAUCUCCCUUGGACCCCACAGCAGUGGCGGUAGUGGCAGCAGAGGCAGCGAUAGUGGCAUUGACAUUUUCUGUUUCUAGGACCCACAACCAACAGGUGUGGGUGGAGUCUCUCCCUGACUAUCUGAGAGCUUUCCUCUCUUGAGUCGUUGUCUUCGACUUCAGUAAGGGCGGGGCUGAGUCGGUGGCCUUACUCAAGCUCUUCCUUUCUCACCCUCUCUGGGCACAGGGCCGGGCUAGACAGACCUGCUGCCCCUGCACCACCCCUGCAGAGAAGCAGGAGGCCACCCACGGGGCUGCACAGCCUCGGGUAAGGAGUUCAUGGCAGGUGUCUGAUGUCUUACUUAAGCUCUCUUCUGGGAAUAGAGGUUUCCCUUCUGAGGCUCAGGAUGCUCUCAAAUAUACGACAACUUCAUUUGUCGCCAGAAACCUAGAUACUGAUGACACGUGCUCACCCUUAUGGGAGCCCCUUUCUGGUAGUCCUGACUUUUGCACGCUUUUCUAUGGUCUUUUGACGUUGCCUUUCUUCACGCUCCUGGUGACUUCAGCUCAGUUUCUUUCUUUUUUUUUCUUAAAGUGAAAAACAUUUAUUUCUUUCUUUUGAGAGAGAG